UACGAAGGGGCUAGCGUUGCUCGGAAUCACUGGGCGUAAAGGGUGCGUAGGCGGGUCUUUUAAGUCAGGGGUGAAAUCCUGGAGCUCAACUCCAGAACUGCCUUUGAUACUGAAGAUCUUGAGUUCGGGAGAGGUGAGUGGAACUGCGAGUGUAGAGGUGAAAUUCGUAGAUAUUCGCAAGAACACCAGUGGCGAAGGCGGCUCACUGGUCCGGUACUGACGCUGAGGUGCGAAAGCGUGGGGAGC
rnacentral:rRNA from 1 species